CCGAGUGAGGGCCUCCGCGCCCGACCUCCAACCCUUUGUUGACCAACACUUGUUGCCUCGGGGGCGACCCGGCCGCCGACGCGUCGGCGUCGGGCACCCCGACGGACCCUUCAAACACUGUAUUCGUACGUCGGAGUACUUGAUGAAUCAAUCA
rnacentral:misc_RNA from 1 species